CCUACGGGAGGCAGCAGUAAGGAAUAUUGGUCAAUGGGCGGAAGCCUGAACCAGCCAUGCCGCGUGCAGGAAGACGGCCCUACGGGUUGUAAACUGCUUUUAUACGGGAAUAAACCUCGAUACGUGUAUCGAGCUGAAUGUACUGUAAGAAUAAGGAUCGGCUAACUCCGUGCCAGCAGCCGCGGUAAUACGGAGGAUCCAAGCGUUAUCCGGAUUUAUUGGGUUUAAAGGGUGCGUAGGUGGCCUGUUAAGUCAGGGGUGAAAGACGGUAGCUUAACUAUCGCAGUGCCCUUGAUACUGAUGGGCUUGAAUAAACUAGAGGUAGGCGGAAUGUGACAAGUAGCGGUGAAAUGCAUAGAUAUGUCACAGAACACCAAUUGCGAAGGCAGCUUACUAUGGUUUUAUUGACACUGAGGCACGAAAGCGUGGGGAUCAAACAGGAUUAGAUACCCUGGUAGUCCACGCCCUAAACGAUGAAUACUCGAUGUUGGCGAUAUACGUCGAGCGUCUAGACGAAGACGUAGUAGUUACCUACCGUCGGGAGGUACGGCCGGCCGAACGGGUAGGUAACGUUACGAAAGUAGUUAAGUUAGUACGGCGUUGGAGACGUUCGCCGACGGACGACCGACCGAGGGGAGGGUUAGGGAGG
rnacentral:rRNA from 1 species